rnacentral:misc_RNA from 1 species
CAUUCAGUAGCCUAGCUACUUGUUUAUACCCUUGUUUUUUUGCGUACCUAUUGUUUCCUCGGUGGGCUUGCCUGCCGGUAGGACAAAACUAUAACCUUUUUAAAUCUUCAAUCAGCGUCUGAAUUAUACAUAAUAAUUA